rnacentral:rRNA from 1 species
GACGAACGCUGGCGGCGUGCUUAACACAUGCAAGUCGAACGGAAAGGCCCUUCGGGGUACUCGAGUGGCGAACGGGUGAGUAACACGUGGGUGAUCUGCCCUGCACUUUGUGAUAAGCCUGGGAAACUGGGUCUAAUACCGAUUCUGACCACGCGCUUCAUGUUGUUUGGUGGAAAGCUUUUGCGGUGUGGGAUGGGCCCGCGGCCUAUCAGCUUGUUGGUGGGGUAAUGGCCUACCAAGGCGACGACGGGUAGCCGGCCUGAGAGGGUGACCGGCCACACUGGGACUGAGAUACGGCCCAGACUCCUACGGGAGGCAGCAGUGGGGAAUAUUGCACAAUGGGCGCAAGCCUGAUGCAGCGACGCCGCGUGAGGGAUGACGGCCUUCGGGUUGUAAACCUCUUUCAAUAGGGACGAAGCACAAGUGACGGUACCUAUAGAAGAAGCACCGGCCAACUACGUG